GCGGGGCCAGCCCAACUACGGGUGUGGCGGUUGGGGAGUGGGCGGAGUCGACCUGCAGCGGUUCCCUGUACCUUUUUUAUUCCCUUGCGUCAGAGAGCAUGGCCAGACCAAGAGAUGGAAACUACAGGGAGGCCAGUUGAGACUUGAUUGAAGAAGGGGAAUCUUCUGAUAAAGGAAGACUGCUUAGGGCAUCAAACACACUUUUCAACUGAGAAGGCAUCAGCACACCAGAGAAAUGCGUGCAG